GCGGGUGUAGUUCAGUUGGCUAGAACAUUUCCUUGCCAAGGAAAAGGUCGCCGGUUCGAGCCCGGUCACCCGCUCCA
rnacentral:tRNA from 2 species